rnacentral:rRNA from 1 species
AGUGAACGCUGGCGGCGUGCUUAACACAUGCAAGUCGAACGAGAACGGGUUAUAGCUUGCUAUAAUUGUCAGCUAAGUGGCGCACGGGUGAGUAAUGUAUAGGUAAUAUGCCUCUUACUAAGGGAUAACAAAUGGAAACGUUUGCUAAUACCUUAUACUCCUUAUUAACAGAAGUUAAUAAGGGAAAGAUUUAUUGGUAAGAGAUUAGCCUGUAUUGUAUCAGUUAGUUGGUGGGGUAAUGGCUUACCAAGACUAUGACACAUAACUGGUUUGAGAGGAUGAUCAGUCACACUGGAACUGAGACACGGUCCAGACUCCUACGGGAGGCAGCAGUGGGGAAUAUUGCACAAUGGACGAAAGUCUGAUGCAGCAACGCCGCGUGGAGGAUGACACAUUUCGGUGCGUAAACUCCUUUUAUAUGAGAAGAUAAUGACGGUAUUAUAUGAAUAAGCACCGGCUAACUCCGUGCCAGCAGCCG